AAGAGUUAGAAUUUUUAAUAUUUUAGCUGUUUCCAUGGUAACGGCAGCCAUUUUGAAAAUUUCAAAGUCAAACUGCAAAUCAGCACAUGCCAGUAACCAUUCCUGUGGAGUUUCUUACAGUUUGGAACACUUUGAUUUUUUUCGCAUUUUUGCUGUUUCCAUGGAAACGGCGGCCAUUUUUUACCAUUCCAUAGCAAGGUGCACAACUUUACAUGGGGGUCCUUAUUAUAGUAGAGUUCCAUCAACAUUGGUCCAUUGGAUUCCAAGAACUCGCGCGGACAAAAUGUGUGGAAGAAAAAUAAGAAAAAAAAAGAAACGUAGAAUAACAAUAUGUCACCCCAACUCAGUUGAGGGUGCCAUAA